GUGUGAAAAGCAUCACAGGAGCCUCUGGAUAAAGAUUCUCAGCCUCAGCAACAAGACUAUAGUAGAGAGGAUUAUGCUGAAUGGUGAAACAUGAAACAAAUGUGAUGAAGCAGCAUGGAGCUAAGGAGAGGAAAGACCUUCAUAAAAUCAAGUUUGCAGCUGACUUCUGAGAAAGCGCCAUUGGUGGAUGAGAUUCCUACAGACAAGGAUGAUCUAGGAAAAGACAAAAGGGUAGCAGUUGAGGGGAGCAAAAGUGAAGUGGUCCAACCAGCAAGUUUGGCCACACACAAAUAUGACCGAUUUUCUAAUACAACGACAAGGAGCGGGGCUAGUGAAAACAUCUUCGUGACAUCUGGGUCUUCCUACAAACUGGUAAGAAAGAGUAAAACCCAUGAUUGUGUGAUAGAGGUAGACAAAACAGAACAAUGCAACCACAGCGAUAAAGCUUACAAGGAGGGCUCCUCAGCUCCAGGAAGAAGUAAAGGGCGACUUGUCAAUAGCAUCAGCUUUUCUGGGGUGGGGAGCACCCUGAAUUCCAGUGGUAAGAAAGAGUCCGUGGUCAGCCCAAGCCAGUCCACUUACAGCAGUCAGCAGAUGAUAGAUUAUAGAAACUUUGUGCCACAGAUGCCUUUUGUACCAGCUGUAGCAAAAAGCAUUCCCAGGAAGAGGAUUUCCCUUAAGAGGUCUAAAAAAGGGCUCCGGGAUAUAUUUCACAUGAAAAAAAAUAAACCAGAGAGCCUAACCCUGCUGGUUGAGAAAGGCAAGAGGCUGCCUUCUCCAGCGUGGAAGAGCGAGCUCUCAGGCAGGCUUGGGAAGUAUCUUUUCAAACCCAGAGAAACCUUUGCAGCUGACUGCUUGGCACAAGACCUCUCCGACAGUGAAAUGCAGUCCGACUCCUCCUAUGACUACUGCAAUGCUCUGUGUGAAGAUGUAGCUUCUCUGAAGAGCUUUGACUCGCUCACUGGAUGUGGGGAAAUCUUUGCAGAUGAGAGCUCUGCUCAUUUGGACCUGGAGAGCAGCAAAGAAGUGCUGAUGAGGCGAUCCAAGCACAAAGAGAGCCCUGCCCUGGGGUCUUUUCAAGGUGGGGUGGAACAGCUGGCGUCCCCUGCCCAAAACGAAGCAGCUGACUUUGCAAAAUUUUGGGAUAACAUCAACAAGUCAGUGCGAUUACAUCAGAGCACGUUAUUUGAUAGGAGGUUGUUGAAGAUACCCAGUCCUGACUUGGGAAAGACUAAACGUGAAGCUGCUGCUUCAAUGACUGACCUGCUGGUGUCACCUGAUAAAGAUCCUGACAGUUCCAAAGAAAGCUCCGUAGAUACAGGGACACCAAAAAGUGACCACCAAGAAUCCACCUCCACCAGUGAUGAAGGAUACUAUGAUUCAUUCUCUCCUGGGCAGGAUGAUGAAAUGAAGGAGGCUCAGACUCCUGGGGUUCCAGGUAGAUUUCCCAGAGACAGUUACAGUGGCGAUGCCCUUUAUGAACUAUUCUAUGAUCCCAAUGAAGCCAAAAUAAGCCCAGUCCUUGACGAUGAGCUGUGUAUGUCAGAAAGCAUUUCAGACCAGGCCAUUGAAAUCCCUUUGUCGAUUUACAGCUUUCAUGUGGGAGCAGAGGAGAAUAUGGCUUCACAGCCAGCUGUUGACAUCAUUAGCCAGGGGUUUCUUCAGAGCACAUGGAAAGGUAAGGAAUGCUUGUUAAAGCUCUGUGAUACUGAACUCUCACUGACCAUGGGGAUAAUAAACUGGCUACGAAAAAACCCAGGAUUGGUUUCCCCCACGGACCCAAUUAGGAGUCCCGAAUUACAGCUGGAAAAAAGUGGCAAUCCAUUGGUCUCCUGUAGUCCCAGUCUAUGCCAGAGUGAGCACAUAGCAGCUGAGGAGGAAAAACCAACCAAGGGAGAAACUGAUAUUUCUAAUCCAAAGUCUUCUUUGGUUAAUGACAAUGACACGGUCCAGACGUGUUUAGGGGGCGUGGCUGAAAAAGACCAAAGGGAGGUUUCUUGGCCUCACACAGCUAAUGGGCAUUCUCAGAUAAGGGAAGGAAACUGCCCUGAGGACUCAUGUAAUGUGUCUGGCCUUCAGGAAGCCAACAGCACAUCAGGUAAUGGGCCAAGAUCACAAGCUAUUGCAGACACUUUAGGGACCUGUUUGUCUGAAAAAGAGAAGAUGCCAGUUUUAGGAGAAUGCAAGGGACCUGGAGAUAAAGCCCCAUUAACAGGCAACCUGAACAUGGAGCCUGCUUGCCAGAGCUCUCAAAAUCCUUCGUUAAAUGAUAGCCAGGAAGUAGAAUCCUGUUAUUCUUAUAUGACUGCAGCAACUUCCCCAAUGGAUUCCCUAGAGACAGCAGAUAGCAAUAAAACAAUAUAUCAUUCCUUGUCUAUUUCCUGCGACAAGCCAAUGCAGCCUCUUACUCUGAGACAUUUUCAAAGCUACAUCAGCCCCACACAAAGGGACAGCGACACUACUAUAGUGCAGCUUCUGGAACGUUGUGUCACUCAAGUUGCAUCCUUAAAAAUCAGCUAUGAAAACAAACAUCUGGAAGACAAAUGCAUCGGGAAUGAAAUGAACAACAUAAUUUGUAAGAUGUCUCAAUACAAAAACAAAAUAUUGUUGCAGAAUGAAUGCAACUGUAUCACCCAGAGUUUAGAACACCCUGGUCUCCCUCACACAAACCAAGAUAAUUAUGAGACAAGCCUCAAAGCCAGUAAUCCAUAUCAGUUGAAACAAAAUAAGGAAUUAAUUUGCUCUAAAGAUCAGAAACACAGAACAAAUAUCCUAGAUCAUAUGAGUCAGGUCACCAGGAGCAAAAUAAAUUUUGAAUAUGCCCAGUUAAAUAAUCAAGCCCUCUCUUACAUAAAAGACUUUACAUCUGAACCUAGACCAAGUGACUCUAACAGCAUGACACCCCUUAGUAGGCCAACAUUUUUACCUCUCUUCAACUCUGUUUGCUCAGCUGUACCCAAUGAUUUUUCACAAGCCUGCACAAACAGUUCACUGGACAAACCAUUGCAAAGUAAUGAAUCUACGCAGUGCAGCACAACCUCAUGCAGUUACACAGAAGAAUACCACCAAGGACUCUCUGAAGGGGCCACUCUUCCUAAUAACCCAGAGCUGACUACCACAGACAGAGCAGUGACUGGCAAGAACCAUCAAUGACACACCAGUGUCACAAGAAUCCGUCCCCACCCCCAUCACUGCAUCACUACAAGAAGUUAAGGUAGUCUGGAUAUCUUGCUUGCAAGUGGAACCUUAACUGCAUUUUGUGCAACACUGAAGAAACCAGUUGUAAAUAAUGAUGGUUUCCCACCUGUGUGUGUAAAUGAAGCAAGUCACAAUGAGGUCAAACUGGUGUCAUAAGCAACAAGAAUUUCUCACCAAGGGACCCAGUGGAGACCCUACAGGGGAAAAAUCAUCCUACUUAUUAACAAAUAUUGUUGGAGCUUACGACACACCCCCUUGAAUCCAGGUUUGCAAAUGGGCAAUAAACAUGCUCCAUUUUUAAAUAGCAAUGAAAUUAUGGUUAAAGUUGUUCCAUGACAUGAAUGAGCAAUUAAAUGAAUCUCUUUUGUCAUAUUGCACCGUAUGAUGAAGUCUUUCAGGCAACAAAAAAUGCUAGUAUUUUUUUUUAAAUGCAAAUAUGUGCCGAAGCAGCAUUAACUUGGUUUAGAUAAUUUUCAUUCUUUUGGAUAAUGUAAAUAUUGUGAAUUUCUACUGAACUUCACAGAAGUGCUUAAACUAUUACAAUAACAUUUAUUAAUCAUCUUAAACUUGAUCAUGCAGACUACGUUUGUACGCUGAGAUUUAUCACUUGGUUUAAAACAUUUUGUAAAUAUGGAGAUAACAGGAAGUAUAAAAUGGUCUAUAUUCUCCAAAGAAGUUGUUUACUAUGUACCCUAGUUAUAGAGGGUUGUGUUUGAGAAUGAUUAUUAAAAAGUUGUUACUUGUUCUGUUCUAAGAAAAACACCCUGCUUAAGUGUGAAACCGUGGUUUUAUUUAAUCCCAGAAAGUCUUGUUUUUCUAAUUUAGAACCCAGUUAGAUAUACCACUAACUGGACUUUCAUUUUCUGUGAAGAAGCCUCUCAAGUGGGUUGAACUCAAGAGCCAUUAUUUUCAAGGCAGUUCUAACUUGUGCUUAAUGCAAACUGUCACAUACUGGAAGGGCACAGGAUUAUACUGGAUUGAAACUGGAUACACAGAAGUUCUAUGGCUAUAGAUUAGACUGGUGAUCUAAUGGUUCCUUCUGGCCUUACAAUCUACGAAAAGAACAUUAGAUCAUCUAGUCCGAUAUCCUGCUUCAAAUAGGGUUUGACAUCUGAUGCUUUAUGGAAGGGGGAAAAAAAUCCAUCCAUAAUUCAUACAGAUUUAUAUGUUGUAAUAUGGAGUGGAGAAUGAGGUGAAGGAAGAGGAUUCUUUCCUGACUUCCACAAGCAGUCAUUUUACACCUUGAAGCAUGAGAUGUGGUUACCCUUUGCUUGCACAUUUGCAGCUGUCAGUCAAGUACUGUAGAGAGAUUUUUUUAAAAAGUGGAUAAUGUAGUGAGUAUUAUCUAAACUUUGCUGAAUAUGAAUUGGUACAAAAAUAACAUAAGGCACUGAGAUCAGGGACCUGUGAAAUGAAAUUCAGUGUUCCAGAGAUAGCAUAUGGCUUCAAAAAUGUCUCUCAUGGAUAGUCAUGAAAUAAAACCCACCCAUUAGGGUCAUCAAGGUUUCCAGUACAGGUCAUCUUCAGGAUGAAAGCAUUUGAUACAAAAAACCUGUCCUCUACAGUAUAGAGGAACAUUUGUGACCCUCCUUUGCUGCUGAGAGAUAGGUAAGGGUGGGCUGCCAAGAAUUUAUAGUUUAGAACAUAAGUCUAAAAUCACAAACAAUUCAUCACACAGGCAUCCCUUCAGCAAUGCUAAAGUGACACACUAUUUGUGGGCUAACCAAAUAAUGAAACACAUGGCUCAACAGAAGAGGUUGUGUAAGAACCUGUUCUUCACAAAACUGAUCUCUCUUCUUUUACAAUUAUUCAACUGACCUCUUUCUUCAUCUUGUUUACUUCCAAACUGUCCUUGCAAUACUGAUGGCCAAUGAGAGCAUAUGGCCAGAAUUUCUCCAAAGUGACACAUGAUAGACCCUCCCCUUUUCCCAGGGAUUCUAGGCUUAGGUAACAAGUGGGAAGGAGCAGAAGAGAGGAACAAAGCAAGGUGAUAGUAGUAGAAAAGUGCCAAUACUGCAACUAGAAUUAAUAGAAAUAUAUAAUAAAUACCAGCUUGCUCUUAUAUAAGCUUUACAAAGGAGGUCAGUAUCAUUAUCUCAUCAUCCUCAUUUUACAGAUGGGUAAACUGAGGCACAGGGAGGUGAAGUGACUAGACCAAUUCUCAGGGUGCCCAGAACUGUGAGUCAUCCUGUUACCCCCUGACUCCAAAGUGAGGGAGAGUUGCUUGUGCUUAGCUGGGUGUUGGCUCGUGAACACUACCAGUCUGUUAGCUACUCAAGCACUUGCCUCUGGGCUAUGCCAACCCUUACUUUGCCUCGCAAGUUAACAAUAAGUGCUCUCCAAUCCCCAAACCCCCUUUGAAGCAUUACCCUGAGAUAUCCAACCCCUGGCUACUCACAGACAUUCCGGAUCCAUUGUUCCCAAAGGAACAAAACACACCAGCCUGUGAGAUUCAGCUCAUGUUCAAUACUCAGCUUAAUAUCAGAUAUUUUCAGUUAAAUGAUUCAGUUUAUCAUCAAAGAUUCAAAUAACAGUGAGUAAGAAUAUUGGAAACAAAUAGUUACAUAUAAAAACAAAAACAACUUUCUAGAGACUAAGCUUAACUAACAGGUUAAUGUCCUGUUUAAAGUCUUCUGCAGCAUUUUCAACCAAGGUUGGUUGAGAGUCCAUUUUUAUGAAUGAAAGCAUGCUGUCCAUUUACUUCCUAGGUGCAGGAUACCAUGGUGUCUUCUCUGCCUCUCAGCAAUACCUCCAAAGUUCACCCUCUUUACUCUUAGCCAGAAUAACCCUCCGCCCCCGGCUUGUUUUUUCCUCUGUGUGCCUUCCCUGUUGAUUUCACAUCUCUUAACAUUUGACUUCAUAUAUAAAGAGGCGUCCAUUGCAUUAGCUUGGAAUGUUUAGUUUACAUCCUGACAGAGAUACACAUUGCUUACCUCCUGUCUAGAGCAAAACCAUUUUUUCCACCUUUGCUGGUGACUGAUACCUUGAUACAGACUUAAAAAACAAAUUUUCAGUACAUAUGCACAAUUCCUGACAGAGUAUCUAUACAUACAUUUCACAACAAUAUUAAUGACCAUAGUGACACAGGCUUGCAUUUGAGCAGACACCUGCCCCAUGAGGUGCCCAUAACCCUUCUGAUUCCCUCUGCUGGUUGGCAUUUAGUGGUUCUUGGGUCACACCCAAGCAGUACUUGUUUCUUUAACUGGUAUUUGCUCUUCUCUUGCUUUGGUUUUUUCCCUCCCCAUCUCACCCACCAGCUCUGUGUGAGCCUCCUUGCCCCCUGCCCCAGCUGCCUGGACUAAAAGUAUCUGGGAGGCUUUUUCCCUGCCUCCACUUUGUCCAAAUGGUCUUCCUCAUAGCAAAGGCUCCCCUCAUCUUCCCCACCCCCCAUGGCUAAAUCACAGAGAUUUAUGAGUCUGCUAUAACCUUCUAGAUUGGGCAGUAUAGAGGGUGUGCUUUUUAGACCCAGAGGUCCUGAGUUUGAUUCCUGCUGUCAGCAGCCCCACCAGAUGUGCUGCAUUACAUAUGAUAGUGAAAAUUCAAGCCACCAGUCUAUGCAAAUUGUCUCAGAGUUGCUAGCCUCAGCGGAGUUGCACAAAUGUUGGGAGAUGUGCAGAAAUUUUCAGUGAGGACAAGUAUGUAAUGGGGUCAUGCUACUCACUCCUCAUUGGUGCCACCUCAUGGCUCAUCUGAGGAAUUAGCUCACCAUUGUUGGUGCCCCAUCCUGCAGUCAGUCAGCCCAUUGUCUGUGUCACUUGCUCUGCCUCUUCCAUGGCUUAGCCUUCCAGCUAGGUCACAAUCAUCUUCCCCUUCUGAGGUCUCACCAAGGUCUCUCUCCACACAGUCUCAGGCAGUUUUCAUACCCACUGCAACACUCCCACAGUGGAUUGUAAGGGAACCCAGGUCCCACUUGCUUCUGCACAGGUGAUCAUCAUCCCCAACUAAGCCUCAUCACAUCCUAGCUCUCCUUCAGGUGCAGCCUAUGGCUAAUUGUCCUCUCUUGCCAAUAUUAACCCUGCCAGGGCUUGCAUAGGGUGAAUGCCCCAUCAAAAAUAAUUAAAUCCAAUCUUUUUCUUUGAACAUUAAAAAAAUAUUCAACCUGCUCAUGGCCCUCCUUGAAUCAGGUGGCAAACAAACAUAGCUGCCACCCGCUGGUUCAGCAGCGAGUAUCUAGCAUAAACUGGUUACAUUGUGUAUGCUUCAUUUUCCUUGCGUUUGAAGCUUCAGAUGUGCUGACAAAUUGAACCCAUAUAAUGUGAAUGUUCUUUUUAAAUUGCAGUGUGCUUUGAAGGAACAGGUUCCCACUUAGGUCUCUCAGUCUGUAAUGCAUUGGUAUUUCUCUUUAGUCUACAUAUCUUGAUGGUCUACUAAAUUUUAAAUGAGUCAAACCUAAGAUGAAGGAAGGCAGCCUAAUAAUCUAAACCCUAUGCAUUUUUUGUGGCUCAGUGAAACCAACUACUGUAUAUUGUUCCUUGUCUUAUAUUCUUUGCACACCCAAAGUGUGCAAGGAGUGGAGUACUGGGUCUAUGGUGAGCAUAUGCCUAUAAAACAUGAAUAAUUCCUUAAGAAUUAAAGGCAACCUGCAAAGAUUAAAAUAGUAAUACCUAGCUCUAAAAUAAUGCUUUUCAUCAAUAGAGUUCCAAGCGCUUCACAGUCUUUAUCCUCUCUGAGAUAAGGAAAGUUGUGCCCACGUUACAAGUGGGGAAUAGAGAGACUAAGUGACUUACCCAAGCUUACACAGAACAUCUCUGGCAGAGCAGGAAAUCAAACCUUGGUUUCUCAAGUCCUGGGCUAGUGGUGUAACCACUGCACCAUCUUUUCCAAAAGUAAUGGGGUUCUAUUAUACUCCAUUUUUGGUUUCAGAAGCCAUGAAAGAAAUUGUGUUUUGUUUUUUUAUUUUUUUUCUCCUAGAAAUAGCAAGCCUUCUUAUCCCUACUUUUGUUGCAGAAUUCACUGUGAGUUCUGUGCACUCAGCUAUUGAAACUUUAACAGAGAUCUUUUCUCCUAAGGUCAUAGCGCACCUGAGUUAAAUAGUGUUUAAACACUGUAGCUUGAAUAAAAAAAUCACCCCUCCCAUCAAAAUGAUCAGGUUUCAUUGCUUUAAAAUCACUGACACUACUAGCUUUCCAGACAAUUCCAAGAAAAACAGGACACGCAUGAUACAAAUUUCUAAUGUGAGACAUGCUGAAAAAAAGGUUGUUUUUAAAAGGCCCAGACCUUUCAGGGCUUCUUGGUGCAUCAUAAACGAGUCAAAAAGGGGCACCAGGGUACCACUACCUCUUUCCUCUAAAGAUCAUCUUUAAAGAAUAGGUGUCUCCAGAUAAAAUUCUCAGUGGAGUUUUGAGGCUUGGCAAAAAACUAGAACACUGUGCCAAAGUCAGCUCACUUGUGUGAAUGGGCAGAACCCAAAUGGUUUCAAAGGAGUUGUAACCGCUCAUACCAAUGAUGAAAAUUUAAAGUGUUAAAAAUAAGAUAAAAAAUAAAGUUAGUCAGACUUAGAUUAUGUCUUAAGGGCCCACCCUUAGAUUUUUAUAUCUCAAGUAAACACAUUUUUAAUCUGAAAGUGAUAUCAAAAUAUUUUGUGUUCUAACAAAAUAUUAUAUUCACAACACAAUAGACCAUGAGUGCUAUGCUGGACUGGAAAGGGCGUCUGUUAUGCAGAGGUGGUAGCGAGCAGGGGCUCUUGGGAGGGCAAAUUCCUACUUUGAAUGAAAUGGUCCUGCUAGACCAAGCAAGGGUCAGCAAACUGAACACAGAUUUACCAUGCUACAUUCCUGUUUAAGCCAAACAAUGUAAAAUGUGAAAAAAUCUACAAGAUGUUAGCAGUGUUGUCAUGGCCAUGUUGGUCCCAGUGUGUCAGAGAGGUGGGUAAAGUAAAGAGAUGAACUUUCAAGCUACACAGAGCUUCUGGUCUGAAGGAGAGCUCUGUGUAGUUUGAA